UUACCUAUAUGUUAUUAAACUUAUAGUUUGUGGCGCUAUAGUACACUGUGUUUGGUGUGGGUAAA
rnacentral:tRNA from 1 species